CACAACAUGGUAGCAUAAGACCACCUGGUGGCAGCGUCUCCUAAAACAACUCAACAAACUUAGAACAAAGCAUACUUCCCUAAAAUUAUGUAAUAAUGAAAUUCAUGUAAUAUUGUGGUACAGAAAAUAAUGUUCAAUGCAUAAUGGAUUAGUUAUUCGAAGGUUAACAAAAGUGAAUACUCUAGUCAGAAUAAUGUAACUAGGAGUGAAAGGACAAUUUAAAGAAGUUCCACAUACACCGAGAUCUCAUACUACCAAACAGGGUGGGUGUAGGUAGUGGCCAUAUUGACGAGCUAACAGACAGGGUGGGUGUAGGUAGUGGCCAUAUUGACUAGCUACCAGACAGGAUGGGUGUAGGUAGUGGCCAUAUUGACGAGCUAACAGACAGGGUGGGUGUAGGUAGUGGCCAUAUUGACGAGCUAACAGACAGGGUGGGUGUAGGUAGUGGAGUGGCCAUAUUGACUAGCUAACAGACAGGGUGGGUGUAGGUAGUGGCCAUAUUGACUAGCUAACAGAGAGGGUGGGUGUAGGUAGUGGAGUGGCCAUAUUGACUAGCUCACAGGCAGGGUGGGUGUAGGUAGUGGAGUGGCCAUAUUGACUACCUAACAGGCAGGGUGGGUGUAGGUAGUGGAGUGGCCAUAUUGACUAGCUCACAGGCAGGGUGGGUGUAGGUAGUGGAGUGGCCAUAUUGACUAGCUAACAGAGAGGGUGGGUGAAGGUAGUGGCCAUAUUGACUAGCUAACAGGCAGGGUGGGUGUAGGUAGUGGAGUGGCCAUAUUGACUAGCUAACAGAGAGGGUGGGUGUAGGUAGUGGCCAUAUUGACUAGCUAACAGGCAGGGUGGGUGUAGGUAGUGGCCAUAUUGACUAGCUAACAGGCAGGGUGGGUGUAGGUAGUGGAGUGGCCAUAUUGACUAGCUAACAGAGAGGGUGGGUGUAGGUAGUGGCCAUAUUGACUAGCUAACAGACAGGGUGGGUGUAGGUAGUGGCCAUAUUGACUAGCUAACAGGCAGGGUGGGUGUAGGUAGUGGCCAUAUUGACUAGCUAACAGACAGGGUGGGUGUAGGUAGUGGAGUGGCCAUAUUGACUAGCUAACAGGCAGGGUGGGUGUAGGUAGUGGAGUGGCCAUAUUGACUAGCUAACAGGCAGGGUGGGUGUAGGUAGUGGAGUGGCCAUAUUGACUAGCUAACAGAGAGGGUGGGUGUAGGUAGUGGCCAUAUUGACUAGCUAACAGGCAGGGUGGGUGUAGGUAGUGGAGUGGCCAUAUUGACUAGCUAACAGGCAGGGUGGGUGUAGGUAGUGGAGUGGCCAUAUUGACUAGCUAACAGAGAGGGUGGGUGUAGGUAGUGGCCAUAUUGACUAGCUAACAGGCAGGGUGGGUGUAGGUAGUGGAGUGGCCAUAUUGACUAGCUAACAGAGAGGGUGGGUGUAGGUAGUGGCCAUAUUGACUAGCUAACAGGCAGGGUGGGUGUAGGUAGUGGAGUGGCCAUAUUGACUAGCUAACAGAGAGGGUGGGUGUAGGUAGUGGCCAUAUUGACUAGCUAACAGACAGGGUGGGUGUAGGUAGUGGCCAUAUUGACUAGCUAACAGUCAUGGUGGGUGUAGGUAGUGGCCAUAUUGACUAGCUAACAGACAGGGUGGGUGUAGGUAGUGGAGUGGCCAUAUUGACUAGCUAACAGACAGGGUGGGUGUAGGUAGUGGCCAUAUUGACUAGCUAACAGUCAGGGUGGGUGUAGGUAGUGGCCAUAUUGAGUAGCUAACAGACAGGGUGGGUGUAGGUAGUGGAGUGGCCAUAUUGACUAGCUAACAGGCAGGGUGGGUGUAGGUAGUGGAGUGGCCAUAUUGACUAGCUAACAGAGAGGGUGGGUGUAGGUAGUGGCCAUAUUGACUAGCUAACAGACAGGGUGGGUGUAGGUAGUGGCCAUAUUGACUAGCUAACAGACAGGGUGGGUGUAGGUAGUGGAGUGGCCAUAUUGACUAGCUAACAGAGAGGGUGGGUGUAGGUAGUGGCCAUAUUGACUAGCUAACAGACAGGGUGGGUGUAGGUAAUGGCCAUAUUGACGAGCUAACAGACAGGGUGGGUGUAGGUAGUGGCCAUAUUGACGAGCUAACAGACAGGGUGGGUGUAGGUAGUGGCCAUAUUGACGAGCUAACAGACAGGGUGGGUGUAGGUAGUGGAGUGGCCAUAUUGACUAGCUAACAGACAGGGUGGGUGUAGGUAGUGGCCAUAUUGACUAGCUAACAGAGAGGGUGGGUGUAGGUAGUGGAGUGGCCAUAUUGACUAGCUCACAGGCAGGGUGGGUGUAGGUAGUGGAGUGGCCAUAUUGACUACCUAACAGGCAGGGUGGGUGUAGGUAGUGGAGUGGCCAUAUUGACUAGCUCACAGGCAGGGUGGGUGUAGGUAGUGGAGUGGCCAUAUUGACUAGCUAACAGAGAGGGUGGGUGAAGGUAGUGGCCAUAUUGACUAGCUAACAGGCAGGGUGGGUGUAGGUAGUGGAGUGGCCAUAUUGACUAGCUAACAGAGAGGGUGGGUGUAGGUAGUGGCCAUAUUGACUAGCUAACAGGCAGGGUGGGUGUAGGUAGUGGAGUGGCCAUAUUGACUAGCUAACAGAGAGGGUGGGUGUAGGUAGUGGCCAUAUUAACUAGCUAACAGGCAGGGUGGGUGUAGGUAGUGGAGUGGCCAUAUUGACUAGCUAACAGAGAGGGUGGGUGUAGGUAGUGGCCAUAUUGACUAGCUAACAGGCAGGGUGGGUGUAGGUAGUGGCCAUAUUGACUAGCUAACAGAGAGGGUGGGUGUAGGUAGUGGCCAUAUUGACUAGCUAACAGAGAGGGUGGGUGUAGGUAGUGGCCAUAUUGACUAGCUAACAGACAGGGUGGGUGUAGGUAGUGGAGUGGCCAUAUUGACUAGCUAACAGACAGGGUGGGUGUAGGUAGUGGCCAUAUUGACUAGCUAACAGACAGAGACACAGGGUGGGUGUAGGUAGUGGCCAUAUUGACUAGCUAACAGAGAGGGUGGGUGUAGGUAGUGGCCAUAUUGACUAGCUAACAGACAGGGUGGGUGUAGGUAGUGGCCAUAUUGACUAGCUAACAGACAGGGUGGGUGUAGGUAGUGGCCAUAUUGACUAGCUAACAGACAGGGUGGGUGUAGGUAGUGGCCAUAUUGACUAGCUAACAGACAGGGUGGGUGUAGGUAGUGGCCAUAUUGACUAGCUAACAGACAGAGUGGGUGUAGGUAGUGGCCAUAUUGACGAGCUAACAGACAGGGUGGGUGUAGGUAGUGGCCAUAUUGACUAGCUAACAGACAGGGUGGGUGUAGGUAGUGGAGUGGCCAUAUUGACUAGCUAACAGACAGGGUGGGUGUAG